GAUGACUGUCAUAUCAUGAGUCACUUUAGCAUCAUGAGACUGCUGUUUGAUAAAUUCAGAAACAAACCAAAAAGCAAGCCAUGCAAAAAUAAAAAAAACUAUUUAAUGAUGCUCUCUCCACACUGGGAUAAAUAAUAACAAACGGAUCACGUCUAAUGUGGACAUAUCAGACACCUUGUGAAACACUAAAGGAAAAAUUCAGUUUCGAGCUAUGGCACUUGCCACAUAGAUGUGGGGGGCCUUGCACCAAUAGUAAUAGUUACCACUGCAUCUAGAAAUUGAAAGGAUUCAUGCAGACAAGGAUGAUUCUUCAUAUUUUUGGCUACCACUUCCAAUGCCUCCACUAAGUGUUAAAAUGCUGCACGCAGCCAUACUAAGGAUCUCACAGCAACACUUGCAGGUAAACAGCAAAAACAGUCAAAGUGCUGGUGUAUUCUGGACACUGUCUUUGAAAACUUUUAGGCAAGAACAGUGCAAGAAACAGACAUAAGAACUGCAUUCAUUUCUAUAAUUCCCCAUUUGAAUGGCCUUUUCUUUUUCCUUCGACAAUGCCUUCGCCUAGCCACAGCAGCUCCCUCAUACAGACUCCGCAAGCCAAGAGGCUGUGGAGGCAAAUGCAGACAGCCAGCACACCUCGAACAGCCACCUUGACUGCGGGUGUGUCACCCUAGUCGCCAAGGAAACAUUUGAGGGAAAGCGACAGGCAACGUGAACAGCCACUUCUCCA
rnacentral:lncRNA from 1 species